AGCAAACCCGCUGAAUUUAAGCAUAUAAGUAAGCGGAGGAUAAGAAACUAAAUAGGAUUCCCUUAGUAAUGGCGAAUGAACAGGGAUAAGCUCAGCAUGGAAAUUGGGGCCUCUGGCCUUGAAUUGUAGUCUUGAGAUGUGCUACCAACGGAGGCGCAGAUGUAAGCCUCUUGGAAAAGAGCGUCAGGGAGGGUGAGAGUCCCGUAUGUCAUCUGCAGUUCUCUGUGCACGGUACAUUUUCCAAGAGUCACGUUCCUCGGGAUUGGAGCGCAAAUUGGGUGGUAAAUUUCAUCUAAAGCUAAAUAUUGGUUCGAGACCGAUAGCAAACAAGUACCAUGAGGGAAAGGUGAAAAGGACUUUGAAAAGAGAGUUAAAAGUGCCUGAAAUUGCUGAAAGGGAAGCGAAUGGAACCAGUUGUUCUUGGCGAGUAUUGGUGUUGUCUAAAGUGAGGGCUUGCCACUUCAGCGCAAGUGUGGUGGCAGGUUUUGAUCUGGAUGCGAUACUGCAUCUCGCCUUGCAUGUCAACGUCAGUUCAUAAUUGAGGAAAACUCUAAGGACUUGGUAAUUUGCUUCCGGGUGACUGAAUGUCUCUAGUGGAACUCAUUUUUGAACUGCUUUUGUAUGUCUUGUUGCAAUGCUCUGCGUGCUUGCCUGUGAUCCGGUGCUUGCUCUGUUUGGCAUGGGGUUGCUGGUGCCUGGAGCAUGUCCUUGACAUAAGUACGAUGACGAAAUUGGUUAUUCGACCCGUCUUGAAACAC
rnacentral:rRNA from 1 species